rnacentral:lncRNA from 1 species
GCUUAAGCGCAGCUGUUAGGGUGAUGCGCUCCUGGUUUCAAGACUCAGUGUUGCUCACUUCCAAGCUUGGUCCUUCACUCAUUUUCUCCGGAUCAAGCUUGAGGAGGGGUAAUGGUGAGCAAUCCUGAAGGUCCAAGUCAUCUGUUGCCUCAGUUACCUCUAAAGGCAUUGGAGCAGAGACCAAGGGUGGAUCAGUUGGCUUAAGCGCAGGUGUUGGUACUGUUGUGCUCCUGGUUUAGGUUCAGUAUUGCUCACUUUCCAAGCUUGGUCCUUCACUUAUA